GCGCGCAGUUUCCCGCAUGCUCAGUAGCUGAGGUAGGGAUGCCAUCCUUCUCAAAAGACUUAUUGACAGUGCCAAAGCUCGGUACUGGACACAACGAGGGACCUGGGUCUACGAUAACGCGCUUUUGCUCCUCCUGAAGUGUCUUUGGUCCAACGUUGUUCCAGGUGUGAGCCACCGCACCUGGCCUAAACCAGAUUUCUUUAGGGCACAAUUUUUUCUGGAAUCUCACUCUUGUUUUUCACAGUAAUUUUAAAAACGUUUCUACUCCAAUUAAGAAUAUAUAUGAUGUUAUUAUAUAUGCUUAUGAAACAGAUUUAUGAG
rnacentral:lncRNA from 1 species